rnacentral:tRNA from 1 species
GGGCGAAUGGUUUAGUGGUAUAAUACUCCCUUAGCAUCUGCUGUUCCAGCGGAUCCAACGAUUGGGAGUGGUCCGGGGUUCGAUUCCCCGUUUGUCCA